UACGUAGGGUGCAAGCGUUGUCCGGAAUUAUUGGGCGUAAAGAGCUCGUAGGCGGUCUGUCACGUCGGCUGUGAAAACCUGAGGCUCAACCUCGGGCCUGCAGUCGAUACGGGCAAACUAGAGUGUUGCAGGGGAGACUGGAAUUCCUGGUGUAGCGGUGAAAUGCGCAGAUAUCAGGAGGAACACCGAUGGCGAAGGCAGGUCUCUGGGCCGAUACUGACGCUGAGGAGCGAAAGCGUGGGGAGCGAACAGG
rnacentral:rRNA from 1 species